rnacentral:rRNA from 1 species
AGUGAACGCUGGCGGUAGGCCUAACACAUGCAAGUCGAACGGCAGCACAGUAAGAGCUUGCUCUUACGGGUGGCGAGUGGCGGACGGGUGAGGAAUACAUCGGAAUCUACUUUUUCGUGGGGGAUAACGUAGGGAAACUUACGCUAAUACCUCAUACGACCUACGGGUGAAAGCAGGGGAUCUUCGGACCUUGCGCGAUUGAAUGAGCCGAUGUCGGAUUAGCUAGUUGGCGGGGUAAAGGCCCACCAAGGCGACGAUCCGUAGCUGGUCUGAGAGGAUGAUCAGCCACACUGGAACUGAGACACGGUCCAGACUCCUACGGGAGGCAGCAGUGGGGAAUAUUGGACAAUGGGCGCAAGCCUGAUCCAGCCAUACCGCGUGGGUGAAGAAGGCCUUCGGGUUGUAAAGUCCUUUUGUUGGGAAAGAAAAGCAGCAGGUUAAUACCCCGCUGUUCUGACGGUACCCAAAGAAUAAGCACCGGCUAACUUCGU